UCCGGUAUGGUGUAGCGGUUUAGCAUGGCUGUCUUUCACACAGCAGACCCGGGUUCGACUCCCGGUACCGGAA
rnacentral:tRNA from 1 species